ACGGCGAGUGAAGCGGCAACAGCUCAAAUUUGAAAUCUGGCGCAAGCCCGAGUUGUAAUUUGUAGAGGAUGCUUCUGGGUAGCGACCGGUCUAAGUUCCUUGGAACAGGACGUCAUAGAGGGUGAGAAUCCCGUAUGUGACCGGCCCGCACCCUUUACGUAGCUCCUUCGACGAGUCGAGUUGUUUGGGAAUGCAGCUCUAAAUGGGAGGUAAAUUUCUUCUAAAGCUAAAUACCGGCCAGAGACCGAUAGCGCACAAGUAGAGUGAUCGAAAGAUGAAAAGUACUUUGGAAAGAGAGUUAAAAAGCACGUGAAAUUGUUGAAAGGGAAGCGCCUGCAAUCAGACUUCGCGGCAGUGUUCCACCGGUCUUCUGACCGGUCUAUUCUCUGUCGCGAGGCCAUCAUCGUCUCGGCCCGCUGGAUAAGACCUUGGGAAUGUAGCUCACCUUCGGGGGAGUGUUAUAGCUCAUGGUGAUGCAGCGAGGCUGGGGCGAGGUCCGCGCUUCGGCAAGGAUGAUGGCGUAAAUGGUUGUCGGCGGCCCGUCUUGAAACACGGACCAAGGAGUCUAACAUCUAUGCGAGUGUUCGGGUGUCAAACCCCUACGCGUAAUGAAAGUGAACGGAGGUGGGAACCGCAAGGUGCACCAUCGACCGAUCCUGAUGUCCUCGGAUGGAUUUGAGUAAGAGCAUAGCUGUUGGGACCCGAAAGAUGGUGAACUAUGCCUGAAUAGGGUGAAGCCAAGAAGGAAACUCUGGUGGAAGGCUCGCAGCGGUUCUGACGUGCAAAUC
rnacentral:rRNA from 1 species